rnacentral:rRNA from 1 species
AUUGAACGCUGGCGGCAGGCUUAACACAUGCAAGUCGAGCGGAGCGAGGGUGCUUGCACCUUUGCUUAGCGGCGGACGGGUGAGUAAUGCUUAGGAAUCUGCCUAUUAGUGGGGGACAACAUUCCGAAAGGAAUGCUAAUACCGCAUACGCCCUACGGGGGAAAGCAGGGGAUCUUCGGACCUUGCGCUAAUCGAUGAGCCUAAGUCGGAUUAGCUAGUUGGUGGGGUAAAGGCCUACCAAGGCGACGAUCUGUAGCGGGUCUGAGAGGAUGAUCCGCCACACUGGGACUGAGACACGGCCCAGACUCCUACGGGAGGCAGCAGUGGGGAAUAUUGGACAAUGGGCGGAAGCCUGAUCCGGCCAUGCCGCGUGUGUGAAGAAGGCCUUUUGGUUGUAAAGCACUUUAAGCGAGGAGGAGGCUACUUAGAUUAAUACUCUAGGAUAGUGGACGUUACUCGCAGAAUAAGCACCGGCUAACUCUGUGCCAGCCGCCGCUGUAACAC